rnacentral:rRNA from 1 species
CAGCCGCCGCGGUAAUACGUGGGGGGCGAGCGUUGUCCGGAAUUAUUGGGCGUAAAGCGCGCGCAGGCGGUCCCUUAAGUCUGAUGUGAAAGCCCACGGCUCAACCGUGGAGGGUCAUUGGAAACUGGGGGACUUGAGUGCAGAAGAGGAGAGCGGAAUUCCACGUGUAGCGGUGAAAUGCGUAGAGAUGUGGAGGAACACCAGUGGCGAAGGCGGCUCUCUGGUCUGUAACUGACGCUGAGGCGCGAAAGCGUGGGGAGCAAACAGGAUUAGAUACCCUGGUAGUCCACGCCGUAAACGAUGAGUGCUAAGUGUUAGAGGGGUUAAACCCUUUAGUGCUGUAGCUAACGCGUUAAGCACUCCGCCUGGGGAGUACGGCCGCAAGGCUGAAACUUAAAGGAAUUGGCGGG